CGAACGGGUGAAGUAACACGUGAGAAACUACCUCCGGAGACCGGGAUAAUCCUUCCGAAAGGAAAGCUAAUAACCCGGAUGCCCCCACCGGAGCCGCAUGGUCUGGUGAGGAAAUGGACUCCGCUCCGGGGAGUGGUCUCGCGGCCCAUCAGCUUGUUGGCGAGGUAACGGGCUCACCAAGGCAUCGACGGGUAGCUGGUCUGAGAGGACGAUCAGCCACACUGGGACUGAGACACGGUCCAGACUCAUACGGGAGGCAGCAGUGGGGAAUAUUGCGCAAUGGGCGAAAGCCUGACGCAGCAACGCCGCGUGGGGGAUGAAGGCCUUCGGGUUGUAAACCCCUUUCAGUGGGGACGAAAUUUGACGGUACCCACAGAAGAAGCCCCGGCUAACUACGUGCCAGCCGCCGCGG
rnacentral:rRNA from 1 species